GAGAGAGCAUCCCUCCAUGUGGGAUGGCCUCCCAAAGUCCCUUCUAACUCCACUGGGUAAAUACUGAUCCACUACCAGGGGCCCCACAGAGUGCCGAGGCCUCCUCAUUGACAUCCCAUUCAGGGGUCUGGAUCAGUCCCGUGAUGGCCUCCCAGACAUCACUCUGGGGUCCAUGUGCUCCCCCUUACUCAGAGAUGGAACCCAGCCAGCCCCGGGGGAAGGCUCCUGAGAAAAUAAAAGAACGAAAGCAACUUGGCCCCCAGAAUCUGCGUGAGACAGGUGACCUUCGUGGGAUGCCCAGUAGCAUUCAGCAUAAAGAAUUUUGCCCUUUGGAUUCUUCGGGAGUUAGAUUACGUACAAGGACCGUCCAGAAAAUGGCCUUCAUGUUAUUAAACCCUGGCCCAUGGGGAUCCCCAGUGGAGUUCCUCUUAGCCGCAGGAAUCUCCACGCUUGGGGGCCCCUAUGUGGGAGUGGGCAAUCUGGUUGAUGACUCAGAACAAACAACAGAGGCCCAGGAUAGGGAAGAGAGGGGAAAAGCCCUGGAGGUAAACUUUAGCUUGAUGGCUCAGCUUCCUAGGGUUGUUGAAGAAGGUGGGCACUUGUUAUGAACCAAGGAGUGUUGACUGAACCUCACUCUCAGCUGUGAACUGGUAGCCUGGUGAAAGUCAAACACCCUGUAAACUCGCUGGUGGGACUCUAUCAAUGCAGAGAAGCAAUCCUCAGUCUGGCUUCUACCUGGUGGUUCAUGAAGUGGUCUGGCUGGAUGAGAAGAUAUUACCGUACAAUUCUGCUCCAUCUCCCUCCCCCAAGUGACAUUGGAAGUCUUCACAAUGUGACUCUGUGGCAGGCCAGAGGCCAGAACCCUAGAUCCUGGCCUCCAGGCAGAGUGUGUCCCUUGUGCUUUGUGGUUUAGGAAUGUGGGACUGCCUGGGUGACACUGAGACAGGAGUGCUGGAGGGUGUAGCCACUGAUCACAAGCUCCAUUAUACACAGUGAAUUGGAGCAACUGACCGAGCAACUGCAGCAAGGCAGGGGGUAUGAGGAUGACCUAGGCUAGCCUUCUUUUUCCCCAACCCCGUGAGGCAGGAAGCUCUGCUAUCCUUGACACUUUGCAGAUGUAGACACAGGUCCUGGAAGGCUAAGGAAACUUAUCUAAAUGACAUGAUUAGUAAGCAAGCAAGUCAGAGAUCCAAAAUGAGGGUUUAUAAAGAUUCUUGACACACAAAACCCAUUUCCCCAUCUGUCUGCCUGUCUACCUGUCAGUCUGUCUUUAUUUGCUAUUCCCCAAUGUACACCCUAUCCUCUCUGAGUUUGCUUGUCUCAUGGAACACAGAACUAGAGCUUUGCCCUCCAGGAAUGCUCAGUCUUGCCCACCCUGUGCUGCCCUGGCACGCCGAUAGAAGAUCCCCCAUGAUACUUUCCCUGCUGUGGGCCAAGAGGGGGAAGGGGAGCAGAUGCAGUCUCGGUUUCCCUUCAGCACAGCCCCUGUGGAACUCUGCCUCUUGCAUUUGUUGUGAUUCCUGACUCACAGGAGAGGCUGAGAGCUGGGAGGAACAGAAACCUGAGGUCUGGCCUCAACAGGACCCUCCCUGUCAACCCUGACGAGGCCUGUGUAGCUCCUUAGUUUCCUGUCACUUACUACAGAAGUAGGCUUCCAGCUGGUUUCUGGAUAGGUCAGAUGUAGCAAACUUUGGGUGGGUCCCCCGGGUGCUGGCUCACUGGGACUGGACCAGUAUUGGGGUGAUUCAAGGACAAGAGGGUUCUCUACUCAACAAGGUCAAGUUUUCCUUGAGGAUUUGGUCUUUGCCUGGUGAUGACACUGGGCCUCAGAGAAGGUUAAAAUGACUGUGUAAAUGAUCAUAAUGGGUGACUUACCCAAUGAUUUGUGUGUGUGUGUGUGUGUAUGUUUUAUUUAAAUUAGAAACAAUCUUAUUUUAUAUAUCAAUCCCAGUUCCUUCUCCCUCCCAUCUUCCCAUGUCCUCCACCAACCCCCAAAUCCCAUCCCCCUUCUGCUUCCCAGGGAGGGUGAGACCUUUCCUGGGGGACCAUCAAAGUCUGUCACAUCAUUUGGGGCAGGGCCUAGGCCCUCCCCUGUGUGUCUAGGCUGAAAGAGAAUCCCUCUAUGGGGAAUGGGCUCCAAAAGUCUAUUUGUACACUGGGGAUAAAUAAUGUUCCAUUACCAGAGGCCCCAUGGACUGUCCAGGCCUCCUAACUGACACCCACAUGCAGGGGGCCUGGUUCUGUCCUAUGCUGGUUUCCAAGCUAUCAGUUACCCAAUGAUUUUAUUGUUUGUUCAAUAUUCAUUGGGUUCUACUGGGCUAGGCACUGAGGGAUGUGUGAGACUUCAGUAUAGACAUAGUCAGGGUGGUGGCAGAGAAUGUGGGCCAAAGAUAGAGAUCUCAGGAACACAAGGAGGUGAUGAUUUUCAGUGGAAACUGAGCCUGGGAGAUUUUUCCCUUCAACCUGGCCAUUCUGAAACCCUUGCAGUUCCUCCGUUC
rnacentral:lncRNA from 1 species